GAUGAUGAUGAUGGUGAUGAUGCUGCUGCUGCUGCUGCCGACGCUGCUGCUGCUCCGUGGCAGGAGGAGCCAUUGACAUCGCCGUAGACACCACACGCUCAAAAUGAAGAGGUGGCGCGGGAGCGGACCUUUGGGCAACUGGAGUUGGAUGUCGGUUCGGAGAGCGAUCUGUAGGGUGCGCAAGAGCCUGCGUGCCCUUUAGCAAGCAAACAGAGAACUGGGCAGCCUCUUCAAUGGGAGGAGGGUGGUGGUCACUUUCCAAUCAUCGCCUUGCAUUCCCCCCCCCCAAAAAAAGAACUCACAUCAAUCGAUAAAUGACUGCCUAGGUAAGAAAUGCUGAGUGACGUACUAGGAGAGACAGUCUAUGGAUGUGUACAAACCUACCCAAAGGAAGAAGAGUAGGUAAAAUGUGGAGACGAUGUGCCUUGAUCUUUGCAAGUAUUUAUGUUUAAGUAGCUUUAGGCCCCCAUUCCCCUCACAAUGUUUCUUGAGAAAAAUAUAUUUGUAUUCUCUACUUGAACUUACUUACUGAAAUAGGAAAUAUAUUUUUCCUUUCUCCUCCCUCA